ACACUGGUGGCGCAACGGUUAAGUGCUUGGCUGCUAACCAAAAGGUUGGGGGUUCGAACCCACUCGGUGGC
rnacentral:tRNA from 1 species